rfam:Danio rerio chromosome 4, GRCz11 reference primary assembly.
GGUAGCGUGACCGAGGGGUCUAAGGCGCUGGAUUUAGGCUCCAGUCUCUUCGGGGGCGUGGGUUCGAAUCCCACCGCUGCCA